GCCCCAGUGGUGUAGCCCGGCCUAUCAUGCGGGCCUUUCGAGCCUGCGACUCGGGUUCAAAUCCCGACUGGCGCACCA
rnacentral:tRNA from 1 species